GGAAGUGAGGACGAUCUGGCUGCGACAUGUCACCCCAGUGAUCGCCAGGGCUGAUUCGGCUGAUGUGGCUGGCUAGGUGGUGUCCCCUUCCCCACUCGCCGCUCCGUGCACGUCCCUCCCGAGGCUGUGUGCUCGGGUGAAGGGGACGCCAUCCCCGACAGAGGACCGUUCCCCGGUCACGGGUGCAGGAGCAGCUGCUUUCCCCUGCUAGACCUCCAGACAGGCUCUCGAGGAAGGAGCUGCCUGU
rnacentral:sRNA from 1 species